rnacentral:rRNA from 1 species
AACGAACGCUGGCGGCAUGCCUAACACAUGCAAGUCGAACGGGAUCCUAGCUUGCUAGGUGAGAGUGGCGGACGGGUGAGUAACACGUGGGAAUCUGCCUUUUGGUUCGGGAUAACCGCGGGAAACUGCGGCUAAUACCGAAUGCCCUCGUGAGAGGAAAGAUUUAUCGCCAGAAGAGGAGCCCGCGUCCGAUUAGGUAGUUGGUGGGGUAAAAGGCCUACCAAGCCGACGAUCGGUAGCUGGUCUGAGAGGAUGAUCAGCCACACUGGGACUGAGAUACGGCCCAGACUCCUACGGGAGGCAGCAGUGGGGAAUUUUGGACAAUGGGGGCAACCCUGAUCCAGCAAUGCCGCGUGAGUGAAGAAGGCCUUCGGGUUGUAAACCUCUUUCUAGCAGGGACGAAGCGCAAGUGACGGUACCUGCAGAAGAAGCACCGGCUAACUACGUGCCAGCAGCCGCGGUAAU